rnacentral:tRNA from 4 species
GGGCCAGUAGCUCAGUUGGCAGAGCCACCGGCUCAUAACCGGUCGGUCCCAGGUUCGAAUCCUGGCUGGCCUACCA